UUUCGAUAGGCGCUAUGGUAGCGCGCAGGGGUGAAGCCUCUGAGGAGCGGGUUCGAUUCCUGUAUCGAAGA